AUUGAACGCUGGCGGCAGGCCUAACACAUGCAAGUCGAGCGGAGCGGCGGACGGGUGAGUAAUGCAUGGGAAUCUUCCUGGUCGUGGGGGAUAACUCCCGGAACCGGGCGCUAAUACAGCCUACUCUCAGAUGCACCCAGGUCGGAUUAGCUAGUUGGUGGGGUAAAGGCCUACCCAGGCGACGAUCCGUAACUGGUCUGAGAGGAUGAUCAGUCACACUGGAACUGAGACACGGUCCAGACUCCUACGGGAGGCAGCAGUGGGGAAUAUUGGACAAUGGGCGAAAGCCUGAUCCAGCCAUGCCGCGUGUGUGAAGAAGGUCUUCGGAUUGUAAAGCACUUUAAGUUGGGAGGCGUUACCAACAGAAUAAGCACCGGCUAACUUCGUGCCAGCAGCCGCGGUAAUUC
rnacentral:rRNA from 1 species